rnacentral:rRNA from 1 species
UGGGGAAUAUUGCACAAUGGGCGCAAGCCUGAUGCAGCCAUGCCGCGUGUAUGAAGAAGGCCUUCGGGUUGUAAAGUACUUUCAGUCGGGAGGAAGGUGUCAAGGUUAAUAACCUUGGCAAUUGACGUUACCGACAGAAGAAGCACCGGCUAACUCCGUGCCAGCAGCCGCGGUAAUACAGAGGGUGCAAGCGUUAAUCGGAAUUACUGGGCGUAAAGCGCACGCAGGCGGUUGAUUGAGUCAGAUGUGAAAUCCCCGGGCUUAACCCGGGAAUUGCAUCUGAUACUGGUCAGCUAGAGUCGUGUAGAGGGGGGUAGAAUUCCAUGUGUAGCGGUGAAAUGCGUAGAGAUGUGGAGGAAUACCGGUGGCGAAGGCGGCCCCCUGGACAAAGACUGACGCUCAGGUGCGAAAGCGUGGGGAGCAAACAGG